CGGCUCGACCCCCCGCACUCGGGACGCAGCCUCCGCUCGGAGUGGACUGGGACGCGCGGCCCGUCACCGGGACCAGGACCCGUGACGGGGAAUGCCGCCGGGGGCGUGCACCGCGACUGUCGGCGGGACCAGGGCGGCCGCUAUGGAGCUGUCACCAGGACCGCCCACAGGACAGCGUCGAGAUUGUCACCCCGGCUGAGCUGUUCACCACCGACCACCUCCGGUUGGGAGAACUUGGUCUCGGCUAUUGGACAUGAAGCCUACUUGGCGGUGCGUAGCGAGAGCUAGCCUGUCCGCUGGAGCGCCAAUGGGCCCUGGUCGCCACCGUUCGCCCGGAAAUCACUAUGAGCGGCGCUCGGAAACGAACUGCAUGGCCGCCGACGAUUGGCGACGAGCGUGGCGCGCUCCGAUUGGCCUGCCGGACGGACCGACAGGAAGCGAGUACUUCCGGCCGCCCGCCCGCCCCCUCCGCUGGUGCUGGUUAGAUGAACCGAUGAGCCCGUCUUGCAAGAUGCAAAUAAUUUUUUAAAGUAACAAAUAUGUCACGGAUCUUUAAAUUUUCUGAUUUAAUAUUUGCAUCUUGCAAGAUAAAUGCUUCACCAGAUGCCCGGAGCUUCGGAAAACAACUGCGCCUAGUCAAUAAGAGUGCAGGACGCUCAUGUGCGGUGAAGACUCAGCUGAAGGAUGGAAGGAUAACACGUUAGUUGUAGAGUAAUGCGAAUAGUUACAAUAAAAGUUUUGUACAACUAUAA